rnacentral:lncRNA from 1 species
CCUCUUUUGUAGUUAUAAAUAUCAAGAGUUUGAAGUUGAAAGGAUAAUUGUUAAUUUAGAUUUUAAGAUUAAUCUUUUUGCAAGUUUUCCACAACUAUUCACGACGUAAAUUGAUAAAUUACAUGGUAUAGCAAUUAUCAUUAUUUUUUUCAUUAUUAUUAGUUUAGAUUUUUUAAGUAGUUUUAGUUAAAAGAAAAAAAAUGUUUUUUAAUGUUCACAUUUCCUCCCCUUAUCUUUUUACUUAUAUAAUAUUUUUGGUAUGAUUUUUUUUAAUUCGAGUGAAAACGAAUUUUGUUUAGCGGGGAGUGAUGUGGCGUAAUCAAUUCCAUCUAAGAUUUGAUGGUCAGUUCUUAAUCAGUUUAAUGAUCUUUCAUCUUGUUUAAUGUGACACUUUAUACGAUACAUUAGUUGCACAGUUGAACUGCAAUAGUUUAUCCAAAUAAUCUAAGACCAUUAAGCAAUGCCUUACAUAAAUUAAGAACAUGUUUAUAGCUGAAUCUUGUGAGAAACUUUAUGUAUUGGUCAGAUAUGAGAGUAGUAGCUUGAAGUACCAAGUUGUAUGUACGAACGUUAAUUGGAAAUUAUGAUUAAGAAUAUUUAUUAUACAUGUACUGUUAUAUA